rnacentral:rRNA from 1 species
CCUACGGGAGGCAGCAGUGGGGAAGUAUUGGACAAUGGGCGAAAGCCUGAUCCAGCAAUUCCGCGUGUGUGAAGAAGGCCUUCGGGUUGUAAAGCACUUUAGUGGGGGAAGAAACAGCUUGGCCACACCAAGCCUUGACGGUACCCCCAAGAAUAAGCACCGGCUAACUCUGUGCCAGCAGCCGCGGUAAUACAGAGGGUGCAAGCGUUAAUCGGAUUUACUGGGCGUAAAGGGUGCGUAGGUGGCUAUUUAAGUCGGAUGUGAAAGCCCGGGGCUCAACCUCGGAAUUGCAUUCGAUACUGAGUGGCUAGAGUUCGGUAGAGGGCGGCGGAAUUUCCGGUGUAGCGGUGAAAUGCGUAGAUAUCGGAAGGAACAUCAAUGGCGAAGGCAGCCGCCUGGGCCUGGACUGACACUGAGGCACGAAAGCGUGGGUAGCAAACAGGAUUAGAUACCCUGGUAGUCCACGCCGUAAACGAUGAGAACUUGACGUUGGUUCGUUUUACGAAUCGGUGUCGCNGCUACGACGAUAAGUUACUCCGUCCGUCGGGGUAGGUACGGGCCGGCCGAGGUUAGGUAAACGUACAAACUAGAAGUUAGUACGGCGUGAGACGUGCCGAACGGACGACGACCGAGGGAGGUAGG